GAUGAACGCUGGCGGCGUGCCUAAUACAUGCAAGUCGAGCGAACAGACGAGGAGCUUGCUCCUCUGACGUUAGCGGCGGACGGGUGAGUAACACGUGGAUAACCUACCUAUAAGACUGGGAUAACUUCGGGAAACCGGAGCGAAUACCGGAUAAUAUAUUGAACCGCAUGGUUCAAUAGUGAAAGACGGUUUUGCUGUCACUUAUAGAUGGAUCCGCGCCGCAUUAGCUAGUUGGUAAGGUAACGGCUUACCAAGGCAACGAUGCGUAGCCGACCUGAGAGGGUGAUCGGCCACACUGGAACUGAGACACGGUCCAGACUCCUACGGGAGGCAGCAGUAGGGAAUCUUCCGCAAAGGGCGAAAGCCUGACGGAGCAACGCCGCGUGAGUGAUGAAGGUCUUCGGAUCGUAAAACUCUGUUAUUAGGGAAGAACAAAUGUGUAAGUAACUAUGCACGUCUUGACGGUACCUAAUCAGAAAGCCACGGCUAACUACGUG
rnacentral:rRNA from 1 species